rnacentral:rRNA from 1 species
GAUUCGCAUUCACUUACUAUCGCAUCGUGCUUUUAUCGAGCAGACCCAAGCUCCGUGUGAAGUUUGAUUCAUUUGAACUUUUGCUAAGCUGUCACACUAGUCCCCAAGGACUACAGAAAGAGUUCCGUUCGUUCGCGCCUGGUGCCUGGUCUGGGACUCACACCCAGCGGACGUCGCCGAGGCGAACAGACAGUUAACGUUCACAACAGUGGGUUGAGAGGUGAACCCGGGAAAAAUCCCUUCUGUAGGGGUACCUGCGGAGGGAUCAUUACCGAGUUGCUACUGGCUCGUCCAAACCCAAUGUGAACGUUACCAAACUGUUGCCUCGGCGGGGUCACGCCCCGGGUGCGUCGCAGCCCCGGAACCAGGCGCCCGCCGGAGGAACCAACCAAACUCUUUCUGUAGUCCCCUCGCGGACGUAUUUCUUACAGCUCUGAGCAAAAAUUCAAAAUGAAUCAAAACUUUCAACAACGGAUCUCUUGGUUCUGGCAUCGAUGAAGAACGCAGCGAAAUGCGAUAAGUAAUGUGAAUUGCAGAAUUCAGUGAAUCAUCGAAUCUUUGAACGCACAUUGCGCCCGCCAGUAUUCUGGCGGGCAUGCCUGUCCGAGCGUCAUUUCAACCCUCGAACCCCUCCGGGGGAUCGGCGUUGGGGAUCGGGACCCCUCACACGGGUGCCGGCCCCUAAAUACAGUGGCGGUCUCGCCGCAGCCUCUCCUGCGCAGUAGUUUGCACAACUCGCACCGGGAGCGCGGCGCGUCCACGUCCGUAAAACACCCAACUUUCUGAAAUGUUGACCUCGGAUCAGGUAGCUGACAGCACUCCCCGCUGAACUUAAGCAUAUCAAAAGCCGGAGGAAA